rnacentral:misc_RNA from 1 species
UACAGAGACCUCAAGCGUUAUCCGGAUUUACUGGGCGUAAAGGGUCCGCAGGCGGUCCUGCGCAUCCUCCGUUAAAUCCUGGGGCUUAACCUCAGGACCGCGGGGGAGAUGGCAGGACUAGAGGUCGGAAGAGGUAAGCGGAAUUCUCGGUGUAGUCGUAAUAAGCGUUGAUAUCGAGAGGAACACCAAAUGCGAAGGCAGCUUACUAGAACGAACCUGACGCUGAGGGACGAAAGCGUGGGGAGCGAAGCGG